GCAAUAUUGGUGGUGUCACUCACUAGGAUUUGCAGCAAUUCAGCUGUCAUAGCCCUCAGAUCAGAGAGUCAUAAAAGAUCAAGGGAUGAGUGUCAGGAGUCUGUGAUGAGAGUAGAGAAAGGGGCAUAAUACUGCUUUAAAGACCUUCCUAAGCUGUGUGUAGUUAGGCUAAACUAUUUUGGUUAGAAGAAUGAUGGUACAAGAUGAAGUAAGACUGGAAAGUAUUUUAAGGUUAAAAUAUUGUUCCUGAUCCUAAACCAAUAAAUAACUACUAUCUUGUGAUUCUGUGGCAGGAACCACUCCUCCUGAUUAUGACCAAAGAUUCUACAGAACAUCAACGAGUGAGAUUUCCUGUAGACGUGACAUGCAAGAAAGCCCGUGAAGGUCGUGGUGCAUCACCUAACACAGCAGUUCACAAGGUAUGGCCCACAAAUCUUUGUGCAUCCCUAAGACUCUUGCAAGGAGUCCUUUCAGUGGAAACUAUUUUCCUAAUAGUACUAAGACAUUAUUUAGCCUUUUCACUCUGUUGACAUUUGUACUGAUGGUGCACAGUCCAUGGUGUGACAAAAUGAG
ensembl:lincRNA